AUUGAACGCUGGCGGCAUGCUUUACACAUGCAAGUCGAACGGUAACGGGGUGCUUGCACCGCUGGCGAGUGGCGAACGGGUGAGUAAUGCGUCGGAACGUGCCGAGUAGUGGGGGAUAACGCAGCGAAAGUUGUGCUAAUACCGCAUACGUACUGAGGUAGAAAGUGGGGGACCUUCGGGCCUCACGCUAUUCGAGCGGCCGACGUCUGAUUAGCUAGUAGGUGAGGUAAAGGCUCACCUAGGCGACGAUCAGUAGCGGGUCUGAGAGGAUGAUCCGCCACACUGGGACUGAGACACGGCCCAGACUCCUACGGGAGGCAGCAGUGGGGAAUUUUGGACAAUGGGCGAAAGCCUGAUCCAGCCAUGCCGCGUGUCUGAAGAAGGCCUUCGGGUUGUAAGGACUUUUGUCAGGGAGGAAAUCCCUAGUGCUAAUAACACUGGGGGAUGACAGUACCUGAAGAAUAAGCACCGGCUAACUACGUGCCAGCAGCCGCAGUAA
rnacentral:rRNA from 1 species